AAAUAAGGAUUUUGAAUAGCUGGGUCCAUAUUAAUUCCAAUCAGGAUUGUUGACCUUUAUUUUCCCUGACGAGUCUUUACUUUGCUGUGUUCUUCAAAUCCUGACAUAAUGAGUUUUGGACUUUGCUGUGUACAGGAGGAGGAGGAUGCUGUAACACCCUGAGUUGCUUUGUGGUCGACUGAUGAUGCAGAGUCUCCAAGUAACCGUAUAUCUGAGAGCUACGGAAUCCCUUGUCCACAGUGCAGAUCAUGUAACAUUUUCACCCUGGUGUUUAUGUUUCUCCAU